rnacentral:rRNA from 1 species
UGUGGUUAAAAAGCUCGUAGUUGGAUCUCGGCGGUCUGAGGGCGGUUCGCUUAAUUGAGUGCUACUGCUCUAUAGGCCGUGGUGUUGCCAGAGGUCUCGGGGUGCUCUUAACCGAGUGUCCUGCGAUGCUGGCAGGUUUACUUUGAAAAAAUUAGAGUGCUCAAAGCAGGCUUUUACGCCUGAAUAUUCGUGCAUGGAAUAAUAGAAUAGGAAGUCGUUUCUAUUUUGUUGGUUUUCGGAAAUCGACUUAAUGAUUAAUAGGGACAGUCGGGGGCAUUUGUAUUCAAACGACAGAGGUGAAAUUCUUGGACCGUUUGAAGACAAACUACUGCGAAAGCAUUUGCCAAGAAUGUUUUCAUUAAUCAAGAACGAAAGUUAGAGGUUCGAAGGCGAUUAGAUACCGCCCUAGUUCUAACCAUAAACGAUGCCAGCUAGCGAUCUGCCGACGUUUUCUUUGUAGACUCGGCAGGAAGCUUCCGGGAAACCAAAGCAUUUGGGUUCCAGGGGAAGUAUGGUUGCAAAGCUGAAACUUAAAGGAAUUGACGGAAGGGCACCACCAGGAGUGGAGCCUGUGGCUUAAUU